rnacentral:rRNA from 1 species
CAGUAGCCGCGGGAAUACGAAGGGGGCUAGCGUUGCUCGGAAUGGCUGGGCGUAAAGGGCGCGUAGGCGGUUUUGACAGUCAGAUGUGAAAUUCCUGGGCUUAACCUGGGGGCUGCAUUUGAGACGUCAAGACUAGAGUGUGAGAGAGGGUUGUGGAAUUCCCAGUGUAGAGGUGAAAUUCGUAGAUAUUGGGAAGAACACCGAUGGCGAAGGCAGCCCCCUGGGCCAAUACUGACGCUCAUGCACGAAAGCGUGGGGAGCAAACAGGAUUAGAUACCCCAGUAGUCCCUGUCUCUUAUAC